rnacentral:rRNA from 1 species
AUUGAACGCUGGCGGCAUGCCUUACACAUGCAAGUCGAACGGCAGCGGGGGAGAAGCUUGCUUUUCCUGCCGGCGAGUGGCGAACGGGUGAGUAAUACAUCGGAACGUGCCCUGUAGUGGGGGAUAACUAGUCGAAAGAUUAGCUAAUACCGCAUACGACCUGAGGGUGAAAGUGGGGGACCGCAAGGCCUCAUGCUAUAGGAGCGGCCGAUGUCUGAUUAGCUAGUUGGGGGGGUAAAGGCCUACCAAGGCGACGAUCAGUAGCUGGUCUGAGAGGACGAUCAGCCACACUGGGACUGAGACACAGCCCAGACUCCUACGGGAGGCAGCAGUGGGGAAUCUUGGACAAUGGGCGAAAGCCUGAUCCAGCAAUGCCGCGUGUGUGAAGAAGGCCUUCGGGUUGUAAAGCACUUUUGUCCGGAAAGAAAUGGCUCUGGUUAAUACCUGGGGUCGAUGACGGUACCGGAAGAAUAAGGACCGGCUAACUACGUGCCAGCCGCCGCCGUAA